rnacentral:rRNA from 1 species
CAGCCGUAAACUAUGCUCGCUAGGUGUCAGGCAUGGCGCGACCGUGUCUGGUGCCGCAGGGAAGCCGUGAAGCGAGCCACCUGGGAAGUACGGCCGCAAGGCUGAAACUUAAAGGAAUUGGCGGGGGAGCACCACAACAGGUGGAGCCUGCGGUUUAAUUGGACUCAACGCCGGGAAGCUCACCGGAUAAGACAGCGGAAUGAUUGCCGGGCUGAAGACUCUGCAUGACUAGCUGAGAGGAGGUGCAUGGCGUAGACGUCU